rnacentral:rRNA from 1 species
UACGUAGGGGGCAAGCGUUGUCCGGAUUCAUUGGGCGUAAAGAGCGUGUAGGCGGCCAGGUAGGUCGGUUGUGAAAACUGGAGGCUCAACCUUCAGACGUCGACCGAAACCAUCUGGCUAGAGUCCGGGAGAGGAGAGUGGAACUCCUGGUGUAGCGGUGAAAUGCGCAGAUAUCAGGAAGAACACCCGUGGCGAAAGCGGCUCUCUGGAACGGUACUGACGCUGAGACGCGAAAGCGUGGGGAGCGAACAGG